rnacentral:tRNA from 1 species
GUUCAAUAGUAGAACAUCAGCCUUUCAAGCUGAAUACGUGAGUUCGAUUCCUAU